UCGCGCCGUUUUUUUCCUCCCUCGGUAAAACGCCAUCACCGAAACGACCGCUGGGAUCAUUUCUACUCGUUUUUCAGGACUUAAAGUGGGUCAGGACCGGCUCUGAUUACCAGAAUCCCCGAUGACAGAGUCCUGACAUCCUGACAUCUGGGUCACACCGAGCUGAGACCUCGUCGCCUGCUGCAGGUUGUUCACAGAUACAAGUCUGCCUGGUCAUAAGAGUCAAGUUUCAGCGAGCAGCCGGCCGCUGUGGGUUUUACUGGAGCUGUGAGGACGUUGGUGUGGUUUAACCUGAUCUGUCAGACAGUGAAGCCGGAUGUCGCAGAAACAUUUGCAUCUCUGCUCUGAGUUCAGUUUGACUCCUGGAGUGAACGUUUACUCAACGCUCCGCAAAUACACAACACCUGAAUGUGUCUGUGCAGUUUUUUGAUGUCGUUCAAACAGUAGUAGCUGAUGUUGACCUAAAAAGUGACAUAAGAAAGUGAAGUCCUCUUUAUAUUUACUGUUAGAAACUCUGCUUGUGUUUUGCAUGUACUCCUUACUGCUCUAAAUACUUUCGGGUUGUGAGCUUUUUAUGCUGCAUCUAGUCAAAUUAUCUGCAUGAAAGUAGAUCAGGAGCAAACACUCUGUUGGGUUUUUCUGCUUUGCACAUAAAAACCUAUGUAGAAAUGUCAAUAUUUAAUUUUAAGUGUGAAAAAAAAUGUUGAAAAUAACGCUCACUUUCUUUUUCUAGAUUUUAAAACACAAACAUUUAAAUAACUUCCACUUUACGUCAUGAUGCUGCCUCCACCAUGCUACCCGUCAUGAUGCUGCCACCACCAUGCUUCACAUCAUGAUGCUGCCACCACCAUGCUUCAUAUCAUGAUGCUGCCACCACCAUGCUUCACAUCAUGAUGCUGCCUCCACCAUGCUUCACAUCAUGAUGCUGCCACCACCAUGCUUCAUAUCAUGAUGCUGCCACCACCAUGCUUCAUAUCAUGAUGCUGCCACCACCGUGCUUCUCAUCAUGAUGCUGCCUCCACCAUGCUUCACAUCAUGAUGCUGCCACCACCAUGCUUCAUAUCAUGAUGCUGCCACCACCAUGCUUCACAUCAUGAUGCUGCCUCCACCAUGCUACCCGUCAUGAUGCUGCCUCCACCAUGCUUCACAUCAUGAUGCUGCCACCACGCUUCAUAUCAUGAUGCUGCCACCACCACCAUGCUUCACAUCAUGAUGCUGCCACCACCAUGCUUCACAUCAUGAUGCUGCCACCACCGUGCUUCACAUCAUGAUGCUGCCACCACCGUGCUUCACAUCAUGAUGCUGCCACCACCGUGCUUCACAUCAUGAUGCUGCCACCACCGUGCUUCAUAUCAUGAUGCUGCCACCACCAUGCUUCACAUCAUGAUGCUGCCACCACCAUGCUUCACAUCAUGAUGCUGCCACCACCAUGCUACCCGUCAUGAUGCUGCCUCCACCAUGCUUCACAUCAUGAUGCUGCCACCACCAUGCUUCAUAUCAUGAUGCUGCCACCACCGUGCUUCACAUCAUGAUGCUGCCACCACCGUGCUUCACAUCAUGAUGCUGCCUCCACCGUGCUUCAUAUCAUGAUGCUGCCACCACCGUGCUUCACACCAUGACGCUGCCACCACCGUGCUUCAUAUCAUGAUGCUGCCACCACCAUGCUUCACAUCAUGAUGCUGCCACCACCAUGCUUCAUGUCAUGCGACGAAUAUUGCAAAUAAAAUUCUAUUUUUUUGUUUUCUCAAAAUUUGGUGACAUUUUCAGUCACAUCUGAACACAACUUGAAUUGCUAUGAUCCAACUAGUCUUUGCCUUUAAAUUAUCUGCAUGAAAGUAAGUUCAGACCACCAUUCUGCUGUGUAAUUUCCCUUUGCACACAAAAACCCAAAUAGAAAUGUGAAAAAUGUUUAAUUUUAAAUCUAAAAAAUGCUAUAACAACGCUCACUUUCUUUUUAAAGUUUUUUGAGUCUGAAAUUAUCCAAAUUUUGAAUGAAGUCUGGUUGUGGUUGAUACUAGGCCGCUGGCUUUCAAUAUUUGACAGUUUGAGGCUUUAAUGGUGACAGAUACGUUUGAUUGAUAUAUGAUUUUGUUAAAUUCGACAAUUUAGUAGAUUCAAGUGUAGGAUUGUUCAGUUUCCAAAAAUCUAAUUUCAACUGAAUAAAAUCUUGUCUGAAAUUGGCCAAAUUUUGAAUGAAGUCUGGUAUUGUAUAUGUUUAUGUAGACGUAUGGAUUUGUUUUCCAAAAUUAGCCGUAUAUUUCACCUGAAUAGAAUCUAUUUAUAAAACUGAACCUACGAGAUAAUAAAUGGUGUGCAAAGUCCCACAUUCUUAUUUAUUUCCUCUCCAAAGAUUAAAAGUGUUGAAGUCUUUCAGCUUGUGCAACACCUGAGCUGGCAGGUAGCACGUCGGUCACUGCCAGAUUAAAAGCUUCAAAGAACAAUAGAGCAGCUCUGCGUUCUGAUGAUAUUACUCAGCAGAGGAGGAUUUUCUAGAUUUAAGUAUUCCAACAAACGUGGGCGCAACAGGAGUCUUUGUGACGUCUUUGCUUCCUCGUUGGAUCUGAAGUAACUUUUAAACAGCUCUGCGUUGUCGUCUUUGAUCUGGAUCCAAACCGAGACAUGAAAAGAACUGAACAGAUGUGAAUCAUUCAUUCAUUUUUACGAGUUUGUGUUGGGUUUAGGCAACAAGAUAUCAGCAAGACAGGAGGUUAGGAUCCAAAACUUAUUGUCAAAACAACGCUGGAAAAUCCCAAAACAUUGCAAAAAAGCAUAAAAAGUUUAAUGCGUUUUCUUUUUCCAAUUUUCUCAAACUCAUAUCUCAAAAGACUUAAAAUAUUGCAAAAAAUACAAAUUAAAACAUUUUACUCAAUGGUUUUAUAAGCUGCUGUACUUCGAUUUUCUUUAGUAGCUUUAUGUGUUUUUGUUUGUGUACAUCAUGAUGCUGCCACCACCAUGCUUCACAUCAUGAUGCUGCCUCCACCAUGCUUCACAUCAUGAUGCUGCCACCACCGUGCUUCACAUGACGAUGCUGCCUCCACCGUGCUUCACAUCAUGAUGCUGCCACCACCGUGCUUCAUAUCAUGAUGCUGCCACCACCAUGCUUCACUUCUAAUACAAAAUAAGGAGCUGUUUUUUGGUGUGUUGUUUGAAUCUUAAAAUAGUUCACGCUGGCUGAAUUAAUUUCCGUGUUUUCAGACUGAGAAUGGGCCGAUGACAUUAAGAAUGAAGCUCAUGUUCAAGCCUGAAAGUAGAUUUUUGUAAUUGUUUUCAUGAGUUUCUCUGCGACUGACUCUGCAUUUAUUUUUGGCUCCACGCCUCCAGUUUGUGUUUGCUGCUGGAAACCAGUCCUUCCACUUCACCUGCUCUCAGGUGUUUCUGUCGCUGUUCAGCCUCAGGAGUUUCACAUUUUCACAGUUUGUGCUGCUGAAAUCCUGUUAACUCCUUCUUACAGUAAUAUAUCAGCUAGUUUCAGCCAAACCCAAAUAAACCUGUAAGUUCUUUCCAUUGUGAUGGGACUUUACAAUGACUCAGGGAAGCGACUUCCUCAGAGCGAAGCAGCUGAGUCACCUUUAGACAUGUGACAGUGACUGUGUGACCUACAGACACGAGGUCAUAUUUACCAAGGACACUGGUGUUUACUUUGGAACGAGUCCCCGAGUUUAGCUUCUAUAGGAGCAGCUGAUCACAUGAUAGACUUCCACUGAAAAGCACUGAGUGAGAGGAAUGAGCUUUUUCUGUUCAACCAAACUUAUUUUAUUUAUUUAAUGAUUGGCAGCAUAAACACAAGUUUUAAAGUAUUUUGUUUACGUAUAUGUAAGUGUAAACAUAUUAUUUAAAUAAAAUUGGAAGUGUUAUCUCGUCAGUUAUAAUUAUUAACCACAAUUUUACGCUAUCAGUUUAGUUGCUCUACUUGGGUUUUCUUUCGCUGUUUUUGUGUUUUUGUUCGUGUCCAUCAUGAUGCUGCCACCACCGUGCUUCAUGUGAUGAUGCUUGUUUUGGUGUUUUUGUUCCUUUACACUCUAAAAAUUUAUAUUUGGGUUAAAAAAAUUAAAAUAGUGCGAUGACUUGAGGCAUACAUAAGUAUUACGUACCUAAAUAUCAUAAUUAUGAACACAAGUUUUCAAUUUGGAAAACAUUUUUUAAGAAAUAAGCUGCCCCAAUUAGAUUUCCGUUCACCAUUUUUGGGGUUUUGCUCAUGUACACUGUAAAAACUAAAUGAAUAAACAACAGUUUGCAUCAAUCUUUCAGACUAAAGGAGAUUUCUUGUGAAACUGAAUUAAAAGAAUUAGACGUUUUAAUUCAUGACUCAGUGGUUUUUUUAGUUUACUUGAUUAAUGAAUUUGUUCAAAGUAGUAUUUCCAAGUUUUAUUAUUAUCUUACAUUUGAUAUUUUUUUUUCCAUUUGUCAUUAAGGGGUGGGAAUAGGUUGCUUGAAUUACUUUUUAGUGUGAAGUUCGUCCAAAAUCCAUAUCAUUCAAUGAGUUUCUUUUUUUACUUCUAAAAGUACAACUUUUCCAUAAUAAAGUCAUGUUGAUUCCCACUAAGACUGAAGUCACGACUGGAUUAGUCAAACUGGAAACACGGGACAAAAAGGGGAACUUCUCAGUAUCCACGUGUACUGUUGUUCUUUAUUUACUGCAUCUACAGAAAACCACAUGUUGACCGGUUUUAUUCCUUUAUAGCAGUAUUAUGAUACUGUUUAUUACUUUAACUGAGUACACCUUUCAUUACUGAGAGUAAAAUCUUUCUGGAGGGUUUGUGUUGUUCUACUUUUCUCUAUAAAAUAGCCCAAAGGAGUUCGACUAAAAACGUUGCAAAUGGCAACCUGGCGACCGUCUAAAUUGAGCGCUGUGAUUAGUGGAACUAUGACUCCUUCUAGAC